UACGAAGGGGGCUAGCGUUGUUCGGAAUCACUGGGCGUAAAGGGCGCGUAGGCGGCUUUAUAAGUCGGGGGUGAAAGCCUGUGGCUCAACCACAGAAUUGCCUUUGAUACUGGUUUGGCUAGAGACCGGAAGAGGUAAGUGGAACUGCGAGUGUAGAGGUGAAAUUCGUAGAUAAUUCGGAAGAACACCAGUGGCGAAGGCGACUUACUGGACACAUAUUGACGCUGGAGGUGACGAAAGCGUGGGGAGCAAACAGG
rnacentral:rRNA from 1 species